rnacentral:rRNA from 1 species
GAUGAACGCUGGCGGCGUGCCUAAUACAUGCAAGUCGAGCGAACAGAUAAGGAGCUUGCUCCUUUGACGUUAGCGGCGGACGGGUGAGUAACACGUGGGUAACCUACCUAUAAGACUGGGAUAACUUCGGGAAACCGGAGCUAAUACCGGAUAAUAUUUCGAACCGCAUGGUUCGAUAGUGAAAGAUGGUUUUGCUAUCACUUAUAGAUGGGCCCGCGCCGUAUUAGCUAGUUGGUAAGGUAACGGCUUACCAAGGCGACGAUACGUAGCCGACCUGAGAGGGUGAUCGGCCACACUGGAACUGAGACACGGUCCAGACUCCUACGGGAGGCAGCAGUAGGGAAUCUUCCGCAAUGGGCGAAAGCCUGACGGAGCAACGCCGCGUGAGGGAUGAAGGUCUUCGGAUCGUAAAACUCUGUUAUUAGGGAAGAACAUACGUGUAAGUAACUGUGCACGUCUUGACGGUACCUAAUCAGAAAGCCACGGCUAACUACGUG